CACAGGCUCCGCUCCACGCGCCCUCACCGUCUUCGGCACCACCACCUCGCCAAUGGCGGAACUUGACAAGGAAUUGAGGAGGGGCCAGUAGAAAGAAUGAUUAGUGUAUACUUAACAAUUAAGUAGUAAAAUUAAUAUUUUCUUCAACAAAAUUUUGAAGUAAGGGGCAAGGCUCCUGUUGACCCUAAGGAAGCUCCGCCACUGACCUCGUCCUCGCCGUCACCAGCGCCUUCGCUCUGCGUGUCCGGACCACGCGACGGGAAAGGCACACAUUCCUCUCCUGAUUCUCACUCGUCGCCGCCCUGCGUAUGCGAGUCGCACCGCAAGAGGCGGUCCUCCUCCGCCGGCGUAAGCGUGGGAACCAGUGCCAGGAAGAGGAGGCCUUGGAGACAGCGCCAAGCCGAAUCCCACCGGUGGUUCUCUCGCUCGAUCAUGAAGAGAAGCCAGACAAUACGGCAGAUGGAAAGAAGGACGUGAAGGAGAAGGAGGACAAGUAUGUCGUCGUGGGGGAGAAGGAGGCGUCCUGAUCUGUGAUUGCAUGCUUGAUGAUAUUGAAGAGUGAUUCGCGAGAUGUAUUUUUCACAGAUUUGCCUGAAUAUCUGCUUUGAGCCGAGUGCUACGCCUUGUGGACACAGCUUCUGCAUGAAAUGCUUAAAACAUGCUGCAGCCAAAUGUGGAAAACACUGUCCUAAAUGCCGGCAAUUAAUCAGGUAAAUCUCAGCCUGCAAGCCUUUCCACUUCCCCCAAAGAAGUUGGAUGGUAAAUAUGCUCCAUAGCCUUGACUAAAUGGUUGUUACUCUGCAGCAAUCCAAGAUCGUGCACUAUCAACAUGGUUUAGUUUUGCUUGCUAAUUCCUGCAUUACCACUAUAUAGUCCACCUUGACUUGUGUGGACUUAUUUCUGAGGCUGCUAAUUAUUCCCUUUAGGAUACCCAACUUGCAUGCAUAUCCCUCUCUUCACCCCCAUUUUCUAAUGUGGAGUUGGACAACCAACAAGCCCUAUAUUUGACAGUUGGAUUCCAUGUAAUCAAUCCAAUCCACUUCAGUGUUCACCAAAUGAUGAUGAUGUAUACCUCAAACAGUGAUCCACACUCAUGUCAAGCGCAGACAUAUGUUUACAGUGAAUAUAAAUGCACAAAAUUAAGCUACCUGUCAUGCAAUAUAUAUUUGUUUAUCAAGGUUUAUCAAUUUUUGGAUUUGCUGAUCUGCUAUAGUUGUGCGACCGUUUCUUUCUAAGCCCGAAAUUUCAAAGCUUUAUAUAAGCAGUUUUGCUAUGUUUCAAGUACUUUAAACCUACUUAAUUUCCAAUCACCUUUCUAGGUCUUUGGAUCAACAUCGAACUACUUAUGGGUUGAGGCUGUUAGUGUUGGUCCAAGAGCUUAGAACAGUGUCUGAAAAAUAAGUUGGGGCCAAGCACUUGAAAAAUAGUCACACCCUUCUACAAUUAAUAUAAUGCAAUGAGUUAUAUAACUAACAAUUGUGAUCAAGCUGCUGCCUAUGUAAGUUUCAACAAAUAGGAAGAGAAUCCAAAUAGUUUUUAUUUGCCUAUUUGUGUACCAUAAAGUAACCACUCCUAUGGCUCCCAGUCAAUAUGGCUUGUCUAACCUUGUCAUACCUGUUUCUUUAUAUGCCUUCUUUAAAGGACAAUUUGCGGUUUCCAAUUGAGUAUGGUUAUCUAUCUGCUGUGUAGUCAUACACCUGUGCUUCUGCAUGCUUCUAUUCAUGUGAAAUUUGCAGGCUGCUGAAGCAGGACAGAGGUUUGCAAUAUGCAGGCACUUGUGACCAUGCUGAUCCCUAUGUAUACAUAGUAUGUGUAACUGGAACUGCAUUUUUAAAUUUCAAAUAUAUCC